rnacentral:lncRNA from 1 species
AAAAUGUUACUUAGAAAAAUAAAUUAAAAUAAGAACUUAUUUUGGAAAAAGAAAAAGGUUUUUUUUUUUUUAAAAACAACUUUUAUUUUUUAAAUUUAUUUUACACACACACAUAAAUAUAAUGCAAAAUUAUCAUUUUACCCUUUUAAAAUUAGUGAAAAAUGUGAAAGAAGUGGGAUGAUCAUGGUGAAAUGAAAUUAAAUUGAGUGGCUGACCUUGUUCUUACUAACUAUAAAGUUAGGUGGUCAUUGAUAGAUUUAACCCCAAACAUGAUGCUCACAAUUGCAUCUCCAAUUUCUCAAAUCCCCUAAAUUGGUUAAAGGCGAUGAGGAGGGUUAAGGAUGGAGAAGCAUUUGAUGAGGAGCAGAGGAAACUUAAGAAAGAUACUACCAAGAAGAAAGGUGUUUCUAGAGGUUCACAGGAUUCCACCAAACUAUCUAGCAAGAAGAAAGUCAAUAUUUCUUUAAGGCUGUGAUGUUGAUAUUGCACAUUUUAGUUGCUCCAGAAACCAAUGCCAGUUAUUAUCAUUUUCAAUUCGACUAUUGCAACUGCAACAGGGAAGGAACUGUCAUAUGCAUUAACUGCAGUAGUUGCUAACAAAUUUCUUGGUGCUUCGAUCUCAGAGAAGUAGCAUCCAAAGAGAGACGGAUAAAGGAUUUGGUGGUAGGGUUUACAAAGGAUUGGACUUCAGUUUUGGGAGAAAGGUUUGAUAUUUCUCGCUUUCAUUCUUGGUUUAGCUGAGGCAUGUUUGGGGAGGGUUAGGGAAUGAUGAUGUGGCAUUUCAUUUCUGAGAUGGAGAGAUUUAACUGGCCCACUGUGUAUUUUGUUAUCCAUUUAGGCAAGAGUUAGUAACAGAUUUUGCAAUGGUAUAGAAUUGAAUGAGUAAUGGAGUGAAAAUGUAAGUACAAUGAGUAAAACGUGUGCGCGUUCAAACAAUUAACUCAUUAAACAUGUAUAAGCUC